CGGACAAGUGACAUUAUCACUGGUCAUUUACACAUACGACCACCGAAUAGACAAGACUAACAGCAUUAAUAAUGAAGUACCUGUUACUCACAGAGUUGGAAACGACAAGCGAAACAACGUGUAUUAUUAAGGGUGCAAAAUCAGCCUCAGGAAAUUUGCCAAAUUUAAAAAGAAAAUUUGAAUCUCUGAACGUAAGCUGUAGCAAUGGAGAUAAUAAUUUGGAAGUGGACUUGGAUGGUGCUGGAGUAUUAAAUGUUCUAUAUGAUUUUAAUUUCAGAGUCGUGUCACAAUCCAUGGUCAUUGAAACAACAAACAUCGGAGGGGGAACAGUUCAAGUUCAGAAGACUGUGUGGACUCUGGAAAAUAACAAAACAAAAUAACGCAGAGAAUGACGAAUGACGAUAACCACAGAAUACACAAAUAAAAUUUUAAAACAAAAUUUUAUCGGACUCGAACCCGCGACCUCUGGCGUUCCGUGCUCUGCUAACUGUGCCAACCGUUCGUUUGUCGUAUCAUAAAAUCUUGUAUGCUUUGACCAUCUUUCAGAUUGUGGCUUCAUCUACAAGAUCUACUUUAGAGUUAAACAAAGCAUACAGGAUUUUAUCAUAACACUCGAACGGUUAGCGCAGUUAGAAGAGCGCUUGCACGGAACGCGACAGGUCGAGGGUUCGAGUCCCGCAUCGUUCAUCAAAUUUUGUGUAAGUAAUUAAUCCCAGAAGUGAGGGUUAUCACUUUAAAAACAUAAAUUGUUUCGAACAACAGAAUAUAUAUCUAAUAAUUUGUAAUGCUCAUAUCAAAUUGUAGGUAACGCGCCUACGCACCAAGCCGAUACGGAAUUGUGAAAUAAAUGCGUUCAUUGAUUUUC